ensembl:snRNA U6 U6 spliceosomal RNA
GUGAAGGUCCAGUUUGGCAACACAUAUGCUAAAAUGGGAAUGAUAUAGAAAAGAUUAACAUGGUCCCUGUGCAAGGAUGACAUAAAUAUUUUUAAAAUGUUUCAUAUUUUA